UGGCGCGGAGAGGGCCCACAGUGGACUUGGUGACACUGUAUGCCCUAACCGCUCAGC
ensembl:miRNA